rnacentral:piRNA from 1 species
CCCUCACACAGUCUAUUCUAAGUCUACUGG